rnacentral:misc_RNA from 1 species
UCCAACUUAUCGCUGGCGGUCUCCUGAGAGUGCCCCCUUGCGGGGUUGCAACACAGGGCAAGGGUUGCGCUCGUUGCGGGACUUAACCCAACAUCUCACGACACGAGCUGACGACAGCCAUGCAGCACCUGUGUCCAGGCUCCCUUUCGGGCACCCCUCCAUCUCUGGAGGGUUCCUGGCAUGUCAAGGGUAGGUAAGGUUUUUCGCGUUGCAUCGAAUUAAUCCACAUCAUCCACCGCUUGUGCGGGUCCCCGUCAAUUCCUUUGAGUUUUAAUCUUGCGACCGUACUCCCCAGGCGGUCGACUUCACGCGUUAGCUGCGUUACCGAAGGAGUUACCCUCCGACAACUAGUCGACACCGUUUAGGGCGUGGACUAC